GAGAGAACACUGUUACCAAAUGUGCAUAGAAAUAGGAUGGCAAUGGAUCCUGGACCCGGUCCUAGAUCCGUGGAUCAGAUCCGUACGGAUCUGGAUCUCAUUUUUUUUGGAUCCGACGGAUCUGGGUCGGAUCUGGAUCUCAAUUUUUAAAACGGAUCUGGAUUUGGAUCUUAAAAUUUUAGAUCCGGAUCCGACCCUAGAUCCGACCCGUGGAUCCGUUUAUUUUAAUAUAUAUUAUUUAUUUUUUAUAUUUAAUUUAGUAAUAAUAUUAAAUAUAUUAAAAAUUAAUAUAUAUUACACCAAAUAGAAUACAAACCCUAGUUUCUACAUUUGUCUCCCAAAUCUCUCGAUUCCUCCCUCUCCAGCCUCCAUUUCGCCACCCACCCUCACCCGUCUGGCCGUCCCAGCCCGUCUCCCUCCCGGCCUCCCUUCCAGUUCACCGGCGAAGGUGAAGUCACAGGUCGCCGUCCUCCCUCAUCCCUGCCCAUCUGACGACGCUCCUCCUCUGCCAUCCCUUCAGUUCGUCGGCGGUCGGCCUCCCUCUCAGUUCGCCGGUGAAGGCGGAGUUACAGGUCGCCGCUUUCUCUUUCACACUCUUUCUUUUACUCUCUGCUCAACUCCCUCUCACGUCACGCACCGGUCGCCGUUGCGCCGCACCAUUGGCCGCCGCCAUAACACCACCUCUCGAGCACCGUCGGCCGGAUGUCGAUGUCCACCACAGGGUGCUCAGAAUCUAAAGUCAGCCAUUUUGUUAAAUAAUUGUUAGAUUUAACUAUAUUUGAAACUUAUUGUUAGAUUUGUUGAUUUGACAGCCAUUAAAUUGUUAGAUUUUGUUAGAAAAAUUGUUGAUUUCAGCCAUUUUUGAGAGAUUGAGUUUGUUAGAUUCAGUCAUUUGACUCAUUCAGCCGUUAAAUUUGUUAUUUCAGCCAUUGAUUUGGCAGCCAUUUUGUUAGAUUAGAUUAUGGUUUUUGAUUGAGUUUGUUUGAUUCAACCAUUUCAGAUUGGAUUUAUCGAAAUUUGUUGAUUUUUUAAUUUGUUUUAAUUAAUUAAAAAUAUAAUCCAUGGAUCUGGACCCGGGACCCGCGGAUCUGACGGAUCUGGAUCCAAAAUUUUCAGAUCCGCGGAUCUGGAUCCGGAUCUGGAUCUGGUAUAUGCAAACGGAUCUGGAUCUGGUAUUGGCCAGACCCGGUCCAGAUCCGGCCCGUUGCCAUCCCUACAUAGAAAUAUAUCAACCUGCUACAAAUGUUCAAUGUCCCUCCAAUUUAAGUUAUGAUUAGAAAAAUAUUGAUUAAUGUAAAACACAUGCAUUGGUAAAUACAUGGAAGCAGCCAUUGAUUGAGAAAGAGCACGUACAAAAGCUUCGUGCUUGAAUAACUUGAUAUAGCGAAACACGUGACAGAGCAAACAUGGAUUAGCAUAAAAUAUACAAUUUCAAACACGGCCGACAGGUAACCAAAUGCCUCAUCUGGGC
rnacentral:lncRNA from 1 species